AGAGUUUGAUCCUGGCUCAGGACGAACGCUGGCGGCGCGCCUAACACAUGCAAGUCGAACGAGCGAGAGAGAGCUUGCUUUCUCGAGCGAGUGGCGAACGGGUGAGUAACGCGUGAGGAACCUGCCUCAAAGAGGGGGACAACAGUUGGAAACGACUGCUAAUACCGCAUAAGCCCACGGGUCGGCAUCGACCAGAGGGAAAAGGAGCAAUCCGCUUUGAGAUGGCCUCGCGUCCGAUUAGCUAGUUGGUGAGGUAAUGGCCCACCAAGGCGACGAUCGGUAGCCGGACUGAGAGGUUGAACGGCCACAUUGGGACUGAGACACGGCCCAGACUCCUACGGGAGGCAGCAGUGGGGAAUAUUGCACAAUGGGGGAAACCCUGAUGCAGCGACGCCGCGUGGAGGAAGAAGGUCUUCGGAUUGUAAACUCCUGUUGUUGGGGAAGAUAAUGACGGUACCCAACAAGGAAGUGACGGCUAACUACGUGCCAGCAGCCGCGGUAAAACGUAGGUCACAAGCGUUGUCCGGAAUUACUGGGUGUAAAGGGAGCGCAGGCGGGAAGACAAGUUGGAAGUGAAAUCUAUGGGCUCAACCCAUAAACUGCUUUCAAAACUGUUUUUCUUGAGUAGUGCAGAGGUAGGCGGAAUUCCCGGUGUAGCGGUGGAAUGCGUAGAUAUCGGGAGGAACACCAGUGGCGAAGGCGGCCUACUGGGCACCAACUGACGCUGAGGCUCGAAAGUGUGGGUAGCAAACAGGAUUAGAUACCCUGGUAGUCCACACCGUAAACGAUGAUUACUAGGCGUUGGAGGAUUGACCCCUUCAGUGCCGCAGUUAACACAAUAAGUAAUCCACCUGGGGAGUACGACCGCAAGGUUGAAACUCAAAGGAAUUGACGGGGGCCCGCACAAGCAGUGGAGUAUGUGGUUUAAUUCGACGCAACGCGAAGAACCUUACCAAGUCUUGACAUCCCUUGACAGACAUAGAAAUAUGUAAUCUCUUCGGAGCAAGGAGACAGGUGGUGCAUGGUUGUCGUCAGCUCGUGUCGUGAGAUGUUGGGUUAAGUCCCGCAACGAGCGCAACCCUUAUGGUCAGUUACUACGCAAGAGGACUCUGGCCAGACUGCCGUUGACAAAACGGAGGAAGGUGGGGAUGACGUCAAAUCAUCAUGCCCUUUAUGACUUGGGCUACACACGUACUACAAUGGCGUUAAACAAAGAGAAGCAAGACCGCGAGGUGGAGCAAAACUCAGAAACAACGUCCCAGUUCGGACUGCAGGCUGCAACUCGCCUGCACGAAGUCGGAAUUGCUAGUAAUCGUGGAUCAGCAUGCCACGGUGAAUACGUUCCCGGGCCUUGUACACACCGCCCGUCACACCAUGAGAGCCGGGGGGACCCGAAGUC
rnacentral:rRNA from 1 species